AACCCGUGUGAGGAGAGUGAAAUAGAACCUGAAACCGUGUACGGACAAGCAGUAGGAACAAGCUUGUCCUGUGAAUACGUACCAUUUGUAUAAUGGGUCAGCGGCUUAUAUUCAGUGUCAAGGUUAACCAUCUAGGGGAGCCGUAGGGAAACCGAGUCGUAACUGGGCAUUCAGUCUCUGGAUAUAGACCCGAAGCCAGGUGAUCUAGCCAUGGGCAGGUUGAAGGUUGAGUAACAUCAACUGGAGGACCGAACCGACUAAUUUUGAAAAAUUAGCGGAUGACUUGUGGCUAGUGGUGAAAGGCCAAUCAAACCUGGAGAUAGCUAGUUCUCCCCGAAAGCUAUUUAGGUAGCGCCUCGGACGAAUACUACUGGGGGUAGAGCACUGUUAAGGC
rnacentral:rRNA from 1 species